rnacentral:rRNA from 1 species
CUACUAUGUUCUAGAGUUUGAUCCUGGCUCAGGACGAACGCUGGCGGCGUGCCUAACACAUGCAAGUCAACGGGGUAAGUUACUUCGGUGAUUACUUAGUGGCGAACGGGUGAGUAACGCGUGAGAAACCUGCCUUUCAGUGGGGGACAACAGUUGGAAACGACUGCUAAUACCGCAUAAUGUUAUUUGGGGGCAUCCCUGAAUAACCAAAAGCUUUAUGCGCUGAAAGAUGGUCUCGCGUCUGAUUAGCUAGAUGGCGGGGUAACGGCCCACCAUGGCGACGAUCAGUAGCCGGUCUGAGAGGAUGAACGGCCACAUUGGGACUGAGAUACGGCCCAG